rnacentral:rRNA from 1 species
UACGUAGGGUGCAAGCGUUAAUCGGAAUUACUGGGCGUAAAGCGUGCGCAGGCGGUUAUGUAAGACAGUUGUGAAAUCCCCGGGCUUAACCUGGGAACUGCAUCUGUGACUGCAUAGCUAGAGUACGGUAGAGGGGGAUGGAAUUCCGCGUGUAGCAGUGAAAUGCGUAGAUAUGCGGAGGAACACCGAUGGCGAAGGCAAUCCCCUGGACCUGUACUGACGCUCAUGCACGAAAGCGUGGGGAGCAAACAGG